UGGAGGAAAGCAGGGGAUCGUAAGACCUUGCGCUUUUGGAGCGGCCGAUGUCUGAUUAGCUAGUUGGUGGGGUAAUGGCCUACCAAAGCUUCGAUCAGUAGCUGGUCUGAGAGGACAGCCAGCCACACUGGGACUGAGGCACGGCCCAGACUCCUACGGGAGGCAGCAGUGGGGAAUUUUGGACAAUGGGCGCAAGCCUGAUCCAGCCAUGCCGCGUGAGUGAAGAAGGCCUUCGGGUUGUAAAGCUCUUUCAGCCGGGAAGAAAAGGCUGCGAUUAAUAAUCGCAGUUCAUGACGGUACCGGAAGAAGAAGCACCGGCUAACUACGUGCCAGCAGCCGCGGUAAUACGUAGGGUGCGAGCGUUAAUCGGAAUUACUGGGCGUAAAGGGUGCGCAGGCGGUUUUGUAAGUCAGAUGUGA
rnacentral:rRNA from 1 species